rnacentral:rRNA from 1 species
GACGAACGCUGGCGGCGUGCUUAACACAUGCAAGUCGAACGGAAAGGCCCUGCUUUUGUGGGGUGCUCGAGUGGCGAACGGGUGAGUAACACGUGAGUAACCUGCCCUUGACUUUGGGAUAACUUCAGGAAACUGGGGCUAAUACCGGGUAGGAGCUCCUGCUGCAUGGUGGGGGUUGGAAAGUUUCGGCGGUUGGGGAUGGACUCGCGGCUUAUCAGCCUGUUGGUGGGGUAGUGGCUUACCAAGGCUUUGACGGGUAGCCGGCCUGAGAGGGUGACCGGCCACAUUGGGACUGAGAUACGGCCCAGACUCCUACGGGAGGCAGCAGUGGGGAAUAUUGCACAAUGGGCGGAAGCCUGAUGCAGCAACGCCGCGUGCGGGAUGACGGCCUUCGGGUUGUAAACCGCUUUCGCCUGUGACGAAGCGUGAGUGACGGUAAUGGGUAAAGAAGCACCGGCUAACUACGUG